rnacentral:miRNA from 2 species
UUGAGAACUGAAUUCCAUAGGUU